UCUGCAACACGCUAUCGAGACUAACUGCGAUUUCUGUAACAAAUCGCAACUAAGGCUGGGUUUACACUAGCAAGUCGCUUGCAGAAAUUAUUUCUGCAAGUUAUUGCGAUCCGCUUGCAGCUGUGUUUACACUACAACGCAAGAAUUAAGCAAGAUUCUUCCGCAAGUUCUUUGGCAAGAAACUUGCGUCAACAAGUUGCAGAUACUGUUUACAUAUGCUUUCAGUACCACUACGAGUGUCUGCCGAAGUAUAAAAUGACAAGUAGGCGUGUGAGAUAUGCUGCAGCUCUUGUAAUUGUAAUGAGAUAAUGAGAAGAUCGUAAUAUGGUGCCUAUAAUAACCUUUUGCAAGAACUUAGUAUCGAGAACAUGGAUACUUUUGAAAACUUUUGCAGAAUGUCCUCAAAUGAUCUGGCGUGUCUGUUGACGUUAAUAGCUCCCGUCAUAUCAAAACGAGACACAAAGUUCCGUACUGCUAUUUCAGCAAAGGAACGUUUGCUUGUCGCUGUACGAUUUAUAGCUACAGGAGACUCAUACAUGUAUGCUGAUUUACUUGUUUCGUAUUCCGGUCAGCACGAUUUCUCUGAUCGUACGUGACGUAUGUAGAGCCAUUUUUGACGUAUUGAAGGGAAAAUUAUUUGAAGACCCCUGAAACAACAAGCGAGUGGAUGCAUGUGGCAAAGGGGUUUGAAGAGAACUGGAACUUUCCACACUGCAUUUGGGCAUUGGAUGGGAAGCAUAUUGUGAUGCAAGCUCCAAAAGACAGUGGAAGCUAUUAUUAUAAUUAUAAACAUUGCCACAGUGUUGUAUUAUUGGCACUUGUAGAUGCCAGUUACAAGUUGUUAUACAUGGAUGUAGGCUGCAAUGGAAGAGUUUCAGAUGGUGGUGUAUUCAUUACCUGUUUCUUAUCUUCAGCCUUGGAGCAAGGGCGUCUUGACAUUCCUCUGCCCAAACCACUUCCUGGCAGAGAAAAGGACAACCCCCCUAUGUAAUCAUGGCAGAUGGCAUUUCCAAUGAGGUCAUAUUUAAUGAAGCCCUAUCCAUUCCAUAACCGACCGGGUCCCAACCAAGUUUUUAAUUACAGGUUAUCGAGGGCCAGAAGAGUUGUGGAAAUUUUUUUGGUCACAUUGCACAACGUUUUAGGAUAUUGAGGCGUCCAUUGUUGCUAGGUCCUGAAAAAACCGUGACAAUAGUUUCAGCUAUAUGUGCCCUACACAAUUUCUUAAUGGAUAGAAAAGAUGGCAAUUAUGCAAACCGAAGUAAUUUUGAUGUAGAGGAUGUACAGAAUGGUGAGGUAACAGGAGCCUCAUGGAGGAAUGAAGAGCAGGGAACACACAAUUUAAUCCCCAUUCAAACAGGACAAUGUAAUAGAAAUUCUCAUGAUACUAGAGCAAUUCGUGAAGAAUUCAUGAAUUACUUUGUAUCGCCAUUAGGUGAAGUACCUUGGCAGUACAGAUACAUUUAAAAUGUGAACUGUAGACUUGGAAAAUAUACUUGCUGCCUGGGACUUAACAUUUAUAUCCUUACCAUUAAGUUCAAUAGUGAUGUUCUUUUCUGUGGCUGGCUGUCCCAGCACUCAUUUCACUACAAUACAUAUGGCCCUAUGCAUGUUUUCGGAGUUACUGAUUUCUAAAAUUACAUACAUGUUCCUGGACUUUAUAGUAAAGUUUCUCAGUAAUUUUGAGUAUUUUUUUUAACGUGCAAUUUACUGCAAUACCAGUUGAACACUUAUUUACCUAAUGUUAAAUUGCAAAGAUUAACUGCAGUGAAAAGAAGUAUAAACCCUAUCAAUAUCUACAAAGAAGCCUGUUAGUAAGUAGUGAAAUUCAGUUUAAGAUCAGAAUUGGAGCUUGCACUACUUGACCAAAGAUGUGCAUAAUUAUGUUCCACAUGGCCAUAAUGUAUGGGCACUCAAUGUAAAUACAGCUGCACAGAAGAUAGUUCAUGUGUAUGGUAUUUGAUGCAGUAGGAUAUUCUAUGAAAUCAACUAUUAAUGAAUAAUAUAUUUACAAAUUAACAAUUACGAUGAACAAACAAGGAAUCGUCUAUAUUUUGGUUUUUUUACAGAACUUAUCUUACCUUUCUGUAAUACCUUUAAAUUGUGAACUGUGUGUUCUGUAUGCUUAUUCCAUUCCAACCCUUAACACAUUUUUAGAGGCAGGAGAAUAUUCAUUCAUAUUCCAUUUACAUUAUGGCACUCUUGUCUUGUAUAAAAUCUCACAUUUAGAUAACUGUAUAUUAUUUUAUUCGUAGAAAUUGUAGAUGUAAUCAGUGACAGUACAAAGUAACAGAAUGGCACUGGCCCAACUGCAUUUAAGUUAUUUGAGGAAUCAAAAUGUAAACAGGUUCCUCCAACAUUACUGCAAAUUGGUAUUCACAAUACUUGGUAAUUUAUGUUCACUAUUUUGUUCUGGAUGGUAGCAAUAUGUAGGCAAUGUUUUUUAUUGGAGGGUAACAUGGGAAAUGGCAGCAAAUAUGUCCGAUAGACUAUAUUUGACAUGCAACCAAACAUUUCAAUUUUGAAAUAAACUAUAGUCUGCACAAUACAAUUUACACAAGGAGCUGUGGAGGCCAAGAAAGGAUUACAACCCACCUUUGAGUUUCUUUACAAAAAUUCUUUCCUUAAUUGCAGUUUUGAAAAUAACUGUUUUGCAUAUAACUUUCACUAGGAGAUCCAGGUCAGGUUAGGAAUUGAAACCCACUUUGUUUCUCUACAAAAAUUCUUUCUUCGUUGCAAUUUUGAAAUAUUUUGCACAGUACAAUUACAGUUUCCACAAAGAGUUGUGUAGGCCAAGAAACUAAGCACAACCUACCAUUCAGUUUCUUUAUGAAUUGUCUUUCACUUGUUAUUAAUAUAAUCUUACAUUUGUGGCUAAUUAUUUUGGCACAGAAUUUGAAUACAACAACUUCUCAUACAGUCAGUGUUAGUGUACCACAUUUAACUUUCUAGCUAAUAAUCAUACAGAUUUAGUAAGAGUUUACUGUUCCUACAUGUCAAACAUUUAAAAAAAUCAAUUUCUGAAGAUGUUAUUUGUAAGACCUUAACAAAGCCCAAAAUGUACACAUUCCAGUGAGCCUAAAUUCACCAAUCAUUACAGGUUUACUGAGCCAUUUUUUAAGGUUGUUGAAUGAACACUACAUUCUGAAAAUAAAGUAAUGUUCUAUUUCGGUGUCA